CCUACGGGAGGCAGCAGUGAGGAAUAUUGGUCAAUGGACGCAAGUCUGAACCAGCCACGCCGCGUGCAGGAAGACGGCUCUAUGAGUUGUAAACUGCUUUUGUACGAGGGUAAAUCCCGAUACGUGUAUCGGGAUGAAAGUAUAGUACGAAUAAGCAUCGGCUAACAACGUGCCAGCAGCAGGGGGAAUACGGAGGAUGCGAGCGUUAUCCGGAUUUAUUGGGUUUAAAGGGUGAGCAGGCGGAACAUCAAGUCAGCGGUACAAUUGAGAGGCUCAACCUCUUCGAGCCGUUGAAACUGGUUUUCUUGAGUGUGUGAGAAGUCUGCUGACUGCUUGGUGUAGCGGUGAAAUCCAUAGAUAUCACGCAGAACUCCGAUUGCGAAGGCACCCUACCGGCGCUCACCUGACGCUCAUGCACGAAAGUGUGGGUAUCGAACAGGAUUAGAUACCCCAGUAGUC
rnacentral:rRNA from 1 species